UACGAAGGGGGCUAGCGUUGCUCGGAAUUACUGGGCGUAAAGGGCGCGUAGGCGGCCAACUAAGUCAGACGUGAAAUCCCUCGGCUCAACCGGGGAACUGCGUCUGAUACUGGAUGGCUUGAAUUCGGGAGAGGGAUGCGGAAUUCCAGGUGUAGCGGUGAAAUGCGUAGAUAUCUGGAGGAACACCGGUGGCGAAGGCGGCAUCCUGGACCGAGAUUGACGCUGAUGCGCGAAAGCCAGGGGAGCAAACGGG
rnacentral:rRNA from 1 species